UCCAUUGUAUUUUCAUUCUACAAUCAAACUCUGAGAAAGGCUGAGUUAUAUUUAUCUGAAAGAAUCAAAGCUGAUUUCCUUGGAUUAACUAAUCAAAAUGGAAGCUGUAGCUGAAAUGCUCAAAGGAAGUUUAGCACCAAGUGGAGAAGGAACCAAAUGAGCCAGUGGCAAUCAACAAAAAGAACCUGCAGAUGUUGGAAUCCAAAGGGGACGAGAGGGGGCUGGACACCAGCGUGGAGCACUCGCAUGGGCCCCAACUAUGCCUGCCUGUUUGUCGACUAAAUCAAACAAUCCCUCUUCAGCACAUAUACAGAGCCAAUCUUGGUCGACAGAAGGCAAGUCUCAGCUUGGAACCGGACAUAGGGAUUGGAUAACCUUUGCAAUUUGUACUCUCCAGGCUAACUUUUGCAUAUCCAAGACAAACUCAUUAGCAUUAAAGAAGCAAUUCAGUUGGUUGAAAGCAGUAAUUCUGGUUGAAAUCAAUUCUAUUGCCAAGACAUUGGAAUUUCCUCCUUAAAUUCCUCACCUCCUUCAAGAUACUCUUUAAGAUGUAUUGUCAAAUUGAGCUUUGUAAUUUUUCUUUGA